rnacentral:rRNA from 1 species
CACCGCGGUUAUACGAGGGACCCAAGUUGAUAGCCGCCGGCGUAAAGCGUGGUUAAGAUAAAACAAACAUUAAAGCCGAACACUUCCCCCGCUGUCAUACGCAAUCGGAAAUAGGAAGCCCAAUUACGAAAGUAGCUUUAUUUAACUGAUUCCACGAAAGCCAGGGCA